rnacentral:rRNA from 1 species
CCUACGGGAGGCAGCAGUGAGGAAUAUUGGUCAAUGGACGAGAGUCUGAACCAGCCAAGUCGCGUGAAGGAUGACUGCCCUAUGGGUUGUAAACUUCUUUUAUAUGGGAAUAAAACGUUCCACGUGUGGGAUUUUGUAUGUACCAUAUGAAUAAGGAUCGGCUAACUCCGUGCCAGCAGCCGCGGUAAUACGGAGGAUCCGAGCGUUAUCCGGAUUUAUUGGGUUUAAAGGGAGCGUAGGUGGAUUGUUAAGUCAGUUGUGAAAGUUUGCGGCUCAACCGUAAAAGUGCAGUUGAAACUGGCAGUCUUGAGUAAAGUAGAGGUGGGCGGAAGUCGUGGUGUAGCGGUGAAAUGCUUAGAUAUCACGAAGAACUCCGAUUGCGAAGGCAGUUCACUGGACUGCAACUGACACUGAGGCUCGAAAGUGGGGGUAUCAAACAGGAUUAGAUACCCCAGUAGUC